rnacentral:rRNA from 1 species
GACGAACGCUGGCGGCGUGCUCAACACAUGCAAGUCGAACGAAAAGAGGGAAAGAGCUUGCUCUUUCCGGAAUUGAGUGGCAAACGGGUGAGUAACACGUAAACAACCUGCCUUCAGGAUGGGGACAACAGACGGAAACGACUGCUAAUACCGAAUAAGUUCCAAGGGCCGCAUGGCCCAUGGAAGAAAAGGUGGCCUCUACCUGUAAGCUAUCGCCUGAAGAGGGGUUUGCGUCUGAUUAGCUGGUUGGAGGGGUAACGGCCCACCAAGGCGACGAUCAGUAGCCGGUCUGAGAGGAUGAACGGCCACACUGGAACUGAGACACGGUCCAGACUCCUACGGGAGGCAGCAGUGGGGAAUCUUCCGCAAUGGGCGAAAGCCUGACGGAGCAACGCCGCGUGAGUGAUGACGGCCUUCGGGUUGUAAAACUCUGUGAUCCGGGACGAAAAGGCAGAGUGCGAAGAACAAACUGCAUUGACGGUACCGGAAAAGCAAGCCACGGCUAACUACGUG